CGGGAAAUAGCUCAGCUUGGUAGAGCACUUGGUUCGGGACUAAGAGGUCGUAGGUUCAAUUCCUAUUUUCCCGA
rnacentral:tRNA from 2 species